AUGCCAUGUUGAGGGCACUUGCGCAACAACUACUUAAACCGCUCCCAUGCCCCCAUAUAAAAAUUCUUCAUUAAGUUUCUAAAAUGAAGUAAUCUCAUUGUGGAGCUU